AUGAUCCCAGACCAGAAUUAUACCUCUACUACAAUUCAAAUCGCACAUUCCCAGUCAGUAAUUGAAGACUUACUUCGUGGGCGGUUCCCUGUCCUUCCGUAUCAUCUUAUCCAAAUCGUCGUAAGGAAACACCAAAUUAUGCAGGCUGGCCGCCUUGAUCCAUUUGGGCAGCAUCUUCUUCCCGAUGAGCGCGAAGACCCGCUCCCGCAUCGGGCCAGGGGACUCCCUGGGGUACCUCUGCAGGAAGAACUCGCAGAAGGCGAGCUCCAGCACGAACUGGCCCAGGAACCACAGCCUGGAGUGGCCGUUCCGCACGUGGCGCGUGCGCGUGCGCUCGGAGGAGGGGUCCAGGUGCUGGAAGGCGAGGUAGAGGAGGACGUCGAAGUGGCGCGCGGGGCAGUCGUCGCCCUCGCCGAGCGUCUCGGAGGGGGCGAGCGGGUAGCCGAGCGCCUGCUUGGCCUCGAGGAGGUACUCGUCCAUCCAGGUGCGGUCGGCGGCGGAGAGCGGCGAGGAGGGGAGGCAGGAGGAGAGCAGCGGCAGCGACUUGAGCGACAGCUGCGGGCUGUUGAGGAACCGCUGGGUGAGGCGCUCGUCGUCGAGCGGCGGCUUGAGGAUGAACCGCCGCGGCGGGUGCUUCUUCUUGGGCGAGACGGCCUUCUUCCGCUGCGCGAGCUCCCGGAGGAGCCGGCUCGGGCUGUUCGCCGGCUCCGAGGGGGAGGCCUGCGGGGGCGGAGGGGUCUGGUCGGCCGCCACGGCGAGCACGCGGGCCCGGCGCCGCGUGGCGGGGAGGUGGAGGGGCGAGAAGGUGAGCGCCUGGAACGCCAUGGCGGCCGGUGCCAUGGUGGUGGCCGCUGGGUUUUGCGGUUUGGGGGCUGGAGGAAGGGGGAGGAAGGAGGAAGAGGAUAA
rnacentral:rRNA from 1 species